GUUGGCGGGAGGCCCAGCGCAACAUUUCCCCUGGAGGAACUCCCACCACCAGUCCGUAUUUUGGGUUGAUGGCUUUCCGGGCCACAGUAGAAGAGGAAAACCCCAUUUUCUCAAUUCCUGAUCGAUACGCAACAGUUCUGUACUGGAUGGAUGAUGUUCCAAUUUAACAAGUAUCUAAAUUGCAGCUCAGAGCAGCACAAUAUACAGCAGAAAGACAAGAAGAAAGAGACAGAGGCAAGUAGAAGGGAGAGAGAAAAAGAGAAAGAGAGUGAGAAGAAGAGGAGAAAGAAGAAGAAAAGAUGAAGAAGUAGAAGAAGAAGAAUGAGAGAGGAAUCAGACAUGUGGAAUAGACUUUAGACUUAAUUACAAAUCCUGGUUCUAAAAGAUACAGCAGAUUAUGAAUUCUGGUUCUGAAAGAUACUUUCUUGAUACUUCAAGGAAGUAUCAAGUCCUACAGGAAGACGAUAGUUCUCCAGUUAAUCCUCCAGUUUAUCUCAGAGGUAUAACAAAAUAUGUCUAGUGCUUCCGUAUGUUUCAGGAAGAACAUACAAUGGUCACAACAAGGUGCACAUCUUCUUACCCGGAUA